CCGAAUCAACCCUGUUAUUUCGGCCCCUCACAAAGCAAGUGUACGAAAUUGGCAAACAAAAAUAUUUUAAGUGAAUAGUUAAAAAGGGAAAAAGCAAUAACAAAGUAGAAUAAUCAGAAGGAGAAAACUGUACAGGUGCAUUAACCUGGAACACACACAUAUGUAUGUUAUUGCACAGCCAGUCUGUCGGUCCGUAAGUGAGGGUGCCGUCAUUCGGCAGAAGUACCUACAGCCACGGCCACCGAACUGAUCGGAUCUGCGCUUCUUUUUGUUAUAAAUAAAAACAGAAAUGAAUUUAAAUCAGGCUAGCAACCCCGUCGAAGUUUCACCAGCACGCAAAGAAAUGUGGCCAUGUUUAGUAAGAGGCUGCUCAGGGCAUAAGCGGUCAUACCAGAUCCCGCUUGGAAAUAGCAAAUAUUGGUACGCUAAUCUGGGAAUAAAGGUAGCGCGAAGGCGCUCUAGGGUGUGCGCAAAACAUUUCCUGGCGGAAUGCUUGUUGGAUCAUCGUCUUAGGAUGGGAAGUGUUCCGACUGAAAAUUUAGGCCGAGAGCCAGUGUAUUUACCUAAGUUUAGCAGACAUCAAAGAAUAAGCAUACAAAAAGCUAAAGCUAAACUCCAAGAAGAGAACAAACAAAUUGAUGGAUGGGACCAGGAGGAUAUAUCCGAAUUUGAUAAAUAUAUCGUUGAAGAUCCCCAGUCCGAUAGCGCGGAACAGUCCACACAUUCCGAAAAGGAUGGAUAUGUCAUUGAAGAUCAUUCACAGUCGGAGUCAACAUUAAAAUCAAUAAAUUUGUAUUUGAAGCAGAGAAAUAAUGAGCUGCAAGCAGAGGCUGAAUGCCUACGUUUAGAAAAUUCUCAAUUAAGAAUGGAGAACAUUUCUUUGAAACGAAGUUUCGAAAUCCAUAAAUGUUUGUUCGAAUAAUGAAAAACAUCCUCCAUGGCAUAACGGAUUUAUCGGCAAUGAAUUAUAAAUGUACCAUAAUUUGUAUGAUGAUAAUUGUGAUAUUUUAUUUUAUAUAAAAUACAUAUGGACAUGUAAAUAAUAUAGUUUAACAAACAAAUAGAACACUUAAUAUGGCCGCUUAAAUAUUUAUAAGUUGCGGUAUUAAAUGUUGGUAUUUUUACUUCGUGUAUUUCAAUGAUUGUCAUAUCGCAACCCAACUAUCGACACCGAAUCAACCCUGUUCCUUAAGUGCACACACACAGGAACAAUUUUUCAGUAAAUAAUAAAUAAACUAAACAAAGUCUUAUCUCUAGGGAAAGUUCAAAUACAACUAUAAUAAUUAAUAGAGUACAGAUUAAUGGAAAAUAAUCCAUUUGAAAUGGAGUGGGUAAGACCAAUUGUAAAGUGUUUGGUAAAAGGCUGCUCAAGCCAUGAGCGCACAUACUUUGUCCACAAAGGAAAUCGACAACAUUGGUUCGCGAAUCUUAGAAUAAGUGGGGCGCCUACGCGCGCCAAGGUAUGCGUAAAGCACUUCCUAGAUGAAUGCUUUGUGAAUGGAAAGCUUCGGAUAGGAAGUCUUCCCACUGAAAACUUGGGCCAUGAACCAUUGCAUAGACCUGUGUUUAGCAGAUGG